rnacentral:rRNA from 1 species
UACGUAGGGGGCAAGCGUUGUCCGGAUUUAUUGGGCGUAAAGAGCGUGUAGGCGGUUAUGCAGGUCCGCUGUGAAAACUGGAGGCUUAACCUCCAGACGUCGGUGGAAACCGUAUGACUAGAGUCCGGAAGAGGAGAGUGGAAUUCCUAGUGUAGCGGUGAAAUGCGCAGAUAUCAGGAAGAACACCCGUGGCGAAGGCGGCUCUCUGGGACGGUACUGACGCUGAGACGCGAAAGCGUGGGGAGCGAACAGG